rnacentral:rRNA from 1 species
UACAGAGGUCUCAACCGUUGUUCGGAUUCAUUGGGCGUAAAGGGUGCGUAGGCGGUCGGGUAAGUCGGAUGUGAAAUCUCAGGGCUCAACCCUGAAAACUGCAUUCGAUACUGCCUGGCUAGGGUACUGGAGAGGAGACUGGAAUUUACGGUGUAGCAGUGAAAUGCGCAGAUAUCGGGAGGAACACCAAUUGCGAAGGCAGCUCGCUGGGACGUUACUGACGCUGAGACGCGAAAGCGUGGGGAGCAAACAGG